ensembl:lincRNA
AACUGAUUUACCCCAUUUAUAUACAGCAAAGGCCAUUCCAAGAUGCUAAGUUAUGAAGAAAAAGAAAGAACCCAUCCCACCUAAUCUGCCCUUCUGCUGUCACCAUCCUAUGCUUAAACAUUCGCUGCAGCUGUUCCACCACCCGUAAUCAUUCUCAAAGCUCUUGCCAAAGAUCAUAGUGUUUUUUCAAGAAACUCAGAUCACACUUCUGGAGAAAGCUCUGCAGUCUUUGAGGAAAAAUGAUUAAAAAAAAUGAGAAAGAACAAGUAGCAUCCUAUGCCUUAGUUUGACCAUAUUCCACCAUUAUAUCGUCUUGGCUUUUAGAGCUCAGACCGUGGGGUGUUACAAUUGCCUGCAAAAGCGAGGAAGGCAAGAAAACUAGUAGAAGGAAAACCACUGAAGUUAUUUCUCGGCAACCUUUAACAUCAGGUAAAGCUAUUAACCCGGCAAGGCUGACUUGCAAGUUUACAGUGUACACUGGUGUGUAAAGAACACAUAAAUUGCUGGAGUCACUAGGGUUUACAUUACUGUCACCUCUUGGGGAUCUGACAGGUAUAAACCUACAGUUCACUGCUAUCAUUUCUGUUCUAUAAAAAUUGUCACUUCAGUUUAAAUGAUACUCCAUAAAAUGAGAUUUUUCUAUAAAUUUUAUUAGAAAAACUUAAUGACACUCAGUGGCCCAUGUAGCAAAACCUAGAGCACUUGGCAAGUGAGUGAGUGUCAUUUAUUUCUGCCCAUUAAAUAACACUAAAGGAUGAACUCCACGGGAGAGGAGGAUGAGGAGAUUAAAACUGCAAAAUAAAGACUGGCAGCAAAACAUGGCCUCUCUGAGCCCUGGGAUUAAGAGACUUGGAAAACAACAACUUGGUGAAGAAGAAAAGAAGUGUAUCUCCAGGAACUUGGAGGGAGCUGAUGGGAGAACUAGAAACUACAGAGAAACUGGAGAAAAACAUUAUGACCAGAUGGUUAUAAAAAGAUCUUCAUCACGUUUCUUCCUUCCUUCAGGGACCUGAACAGCCAGUGGUGUCCUGAGAGGGGGCGACAGGAGAUUAAGAAAAAAUUACACAUAUACUGAAAGGAAAGCUGGGACUGGUGGGACCUGACCUCUCUGCUGGGGAGGCAGCGACAACCCAGCAUGGUCCGCAUUUUUAUUUAUACACAGUAAAAAGGGAGGAAGUACGCGAUGGGGCCGAAAGUACAAGGUCUCCGGGUUUUGCUGAGAACACUGAAAGCCAGACAUUCUGUUCGCUGUCUGUGCUGUAGCUAACAGGGAGGAGCACCAAGGGAGGAGCACCAAGGCCGGACACCUGCUGACCUGGCCUGGCUGUAGCCCCCACAACUUGUUCACAUGGCUCACCCUGGCACUCUGUUUUCUAGGGGCCGGCCCUGCUCUAGCCUAGCUCAGUCAGAUGCUCCCCACACCUUUCUUUUUGCCAUGGCUUAGGCCAUCUACUUGCCAGCAAGGAGAGAAAAACUGAAUGAGAAAUAAAAUGUAGUCCUUUUGAGAGCCUCUUCAUGGAAAAAAAUAGCUUGAAAAAAGAAACAAAGUAAUUCCAGCUACUAGGGAGGCUCAGGCAGGAGGAUUACAAAUUCAAGGGCAGCCUGUGCAGAGAGACCCUGUCUCAAAAUAAAAGUGAACAAAGGUUGGAGGUGUAGCUCAGGGGUAGAGGGCCCUAGUUCAGACUCCCAUACCCCCAGAAAAAGAGAAGGAGAGGGAAAGAGAAAGGAGGAGGGGAAGGAAGAAAGGGAGGGGGAGGAGAGAAGGGAAGGGAAGAAAAGAGAAGAAAGGAAAGGAAAAGAAAAGAAAAAAGAAAAGAAAAGAAAGGAAGCUGGGCGUGGUGGUGCACACCUGUAAUCCUAGCACUUGGGAGGCUGAGGCAGGAGGAU